rnacentral:rRNA from 1 species
CCAUCAUUCAGUUGGGCGACUCUAGCGAGACUGCCGGUAUUAAACCGGAGGAAGGUGGGGAGUGACGUCAAAUCAUCAUGCCCUUAUGACCUGGGCUACACACGUGCUACAAUGGUUGGUACAACGAGUUGCGAGUCGGUGACGGCGAGCUAAUCUCUUAAAGCCAAUCUCAGUUCGGAUUGUAGGCUGCAACUCGCCUACAUGAAGUCGGAAUCGCUAGUAAUCGCGGAUCAGCACGCCGCGGUGAAUACGUUCCCGGGCCUU